GAUGAACGCCGGCGGUGCGCCUAAUACAUGCAAGUCGAACGCGUUGGCCCAAUUGAUUGAUGGUGCUUGCACCUGAUUGAUUUUGGUCGCCAACGAGUGGCGGACGGGUGAGUAACACGUAGGUAACCUGCCCAGAAGCGGGGGACAACAUUUGGAAACAGAUGCUAAUACCGCAUAACAGCGUUGUUCGCAUGAACAACGCUUAAAAGAUGGCUUCUCGCUAUCACUUCUGGAUGGACCUGCGGUGCAUUAGCUUGUUGGUGGGGUAACGGCCUACCAAGGCGAUGAUGCAUAGCCGAGUUGAGAGACUGAUCGGCCACAAUGGGACUGAGACACGGCCCAUACUCCUACGGGAGGCAGCAGUAGGGAAUCUUCCACAAUGGGCGCAAGCCUGAUGGAGCAACACCGCGUGAGUGAAGAAGGGUUUCGGCUCGUAAAGCUCUGUUGUUAAAGAAGAACACGUAUGAGAGUAACUGUUCAUACGUUGACGGUAUUUAACCAGAAAGUCACGGCUAACUACGUGCCAGCAGCCGCGGUAAUACGUAGGUGGCAAGCGUUAUCCGGAUUUAUUGGGCGUAAAGAGAGUGCAGGCGGUUUUCUAAGUCUGAUGUGAAAGCCUUCGGCUUAACCGGAGAAGUGCAUCGGAAACUGGAUAACUUGAGUGCAGAAGAGGGUAGUGGAACUCCAUGUGUAGCGGUGGAAUGCGUAGAUAUAUGGAAGAACACCAGUGGCGAACGCGGCUACCUGGUCUGCAACUGACGCUGAGACUCGAAAGCAUGGGUAGCGAACAGGAUUAGAUACCCUGGUAGUCCAUGCCGUAAACGAUGAGUGCUAGGUGUUGGAGGGUUUCCGCCCUUCAGUGCCGGAGCUAACGCAUUAAGCACUCCGCCUGGGGAGUACGACCGCAAGGUUGAAACUCAAAGGAAUUGACGGGGGCCCGCACAAGCGGUGGAGCAUGUGGUUUAAUUCGAAGCUACGCGAAGAACCUUACCAGGUCUUGACAUCUUGCGCCAACCCUAGAGAUAGGGCGUUUCCUUCGGGAACGCAAUGACAGGUGGUGCAUGGUCGUCGUCAGCUCGUGUCGUGAGAUGUUGGGUUAAGUCCCGCAACGAGCGCAACCCUUGUUACUAGUUGCCAGCAUUAAGUUGGGCACUCUAGUGAGACUGCCGGUGACAAACCGGAGGAAGGUGGGGACGACGUCAGAUCAUCAUGCCCCUUAUGACCUGGGCUACACACGUGCUACAAUGGACGGUACAACGAGUCGCGAACUCGCGAGGGCAAGCAAAUCUCUUAAAACCGUUCUCAGUUCGGACUGCAGGCUGCAACUCGCCUGCACGAAGUCGGAAUCGCUAGUAACCGCGGAUCAGCAUGCCGCGGUGAAUACGUUCCCGGGCCUUGUACACACCGCCCGUCACACCAUGAGAGUUUGUAACACCCAAAGUCGGUGGGGUAACCUUUUAGGAGCCAGCCGCCUAAGGUGGGACAGAUGAUUAGGGUG
rnacentral:rRNA from 2 species